rnacentral:misc_RNA from 1 species
UACGGAGGGUGCAAGCGUUACCCGGAAUCAUUGGGCGUAAAGCGUCCGCAGGCGGUCUGUUAAGUUGAAUAUUAAAUCUCGGGGCCCAACUCCGAGUUAGUGUUCAAAACUGAUAGACUAGAGAUUUCCAGAGGCAAGUGGAAUUCUGUGUGUAGGGGUAAAAUCCGUAGAUACACAGAGGAACACCAAAAGCGAAAGCAGCUUGCUGGGGAAAUUCUGACGCUCAGGGACGAAAGCGUGGGUAGCGAACGGG